rnacentral:rRNA from 1 species
GAUGAACGCUGGCGGCGUGCCUAAUACAUGCAAGUCGAGCGAAUGGAUUAAGAGCUUGCUCUUAUGAAGUUAGCGGCGGACGGGUGAGUAACACGUGGGUAACCUGCCCAUAAGACUGGGAUAACUCCGGGAAACCGGGGCUAAUACCGGAUAACAUUUUGAACCGCAUGGUUCGAAAUUGAAAGGCGGCUUCGGCUGUCACUUAUGGAUGGACCCGCGUCGCAUUAGCUAGUUGGUGAGGUAACGGCUCACCAAGGCAACGAUGCGUAGCCGACCUGGGAGGGGGAUCGGCCACACUGGGACUAAGACACGGCCCAGACUCCUACGGGAGGCAGCAGUAGGGAAUCUUCCGCAUUGGACGAAAGUCUGACGGAGCAACGCCGCGUGAGUGAUGAGGGCUUUCGGGUCGUAAAACUCUGUUGUUAGGGAAGAACAAGUGCUAGUUGAAUAAGCUGGCACCUUGACGGUACCUAACCAGAAAGCCACGGCUAACUACGUGCCAGCCGCCGCCGUAA